rnacentral:rRNA from 1 species
GACAGAGGUGCCAAGCGUUAGGCGGAAUCACUGGGCUUAAAGCGUGUGUAGGCGGAUCGUUAAGUACCUUGUGAAAUCCCACGGCUCAACCGUGGAACUGCUGGGUAUACUGGCGGUCUUGAGCCACCUAGGGGCAACUGGAACAAGCGGUGGAGCGGUGAAAUGCGUAGAUAUGCGGAGGAACACCGAUGGCGAAGGCAAUCCCCUGGGCCUGCACUGACGCUCAUGCACGAAAGCGUGGGGAGCAAACAGG